rnacentral:lncRNA from 1 species
AAUGUUAUGAAAAAAGGAAGCUAAAAGAAAUAUAUCUAAUUUAGAUUGAGAAGAGAUAUAAGAAGAAAUAAUAAUUUUCUAUUGCAUUUGGAUUAAUUAAGAUAUAAAAAAUAAAUUGAUGUAAUGUAAAGGAUGGACGGAUGGGACCAUGGGAUUGGGGAGGGGCAUUAAAAGAUAAAUAUUAAAAUAAUGAAUAAAGAAAGAGAAAGAAUAAGAAAGAAGGGGUG